GGCUUUGUAGUGUAGUGGUUAUCACAGCGGAUUCUGAUCGGCUGUAUCCAAACAAGUACAGUUCCGCUAACCCAGGUUCGAGUCCUGGCAAGGCCU